UACGUAGGCAGCAAGCGUUGUUCGGAGUUACUGGGCGUAAAGGGUGCGUAGGCGGCUAUUUAAGUUUGGUGUGAAAUCUCCCGGCUCAACUGGGAGGGUGCGCCGAAUACUGAGUGGCUAGAGUGCGGGAGAGGAAAGUGGAAUUCCUGGUGUAGCGGUGAAAUGCGUAGGUAUCAGGAGGAACACCGGUGGUGUAAACGGCUUUCUGGACCGUAACUGACGCUGAGGCACGAAAGCGUGGGUAGCAAACAGG
rnacentral:rRNA from 1 species